UUCCAAUCUGUCUAAAGAAAAGCUCCUUUUCAAUUUCCCUAUUAUCAGAGUUAAAAAUUCUAUAAAGUUUAUUUCUUUUGUAGUAUCAGUUCUUUGUAUAAUAUCAUCGUCUCUUCUUUUGUUGCCACACCCUUGUUUUGUUGCUAUGCCUAUUAAUUCAGUUUUAAAUUGUUCCAUUUUAUUUCUUCUUUCUUUUCAUCAAUAAAAUCUCCAAUAGACAGAUUGGAUAUCUCCAAAAUCAAGGCUCCUUGGUUGUUUCCAAAAGAAUCCAAUUUAAAUAGCAAGACACAUAGUUUCUCUUUCAGCUGCUUGCAAUCCACAAUUUGCACUUUCACUUCGUCUUAGCUAUCCUCCAUUUUGUCCAUUAGAAAGUUCCGCUUGUCUUUUCCCCUUGCUUUAAAAAAUUCCUGUUUAUCGCUCCUUCCCUCUUUCUCUUUUCAGAAAUAAUCCAUUGCCAUUUAGAAAAAAGGGAUUUUCAAAUUUUUAUAACUUUCGAACAACGAUCAUUCCUAGUGAGUUAGUAAUCACAAUGAUUCAUUAAAGGGUCCUUUCCUCCUCUAAAUUAUUUUGCUAGGUCUUCUUGCCCCAAUAGCCUUUAGCCGCUAAUUAAGGCUAGGGACUCACUUGUAAAUAUCCAAAAUUUAAAACGCUGUUCCCGCCUGGGUUGAAUCUUGCUUAACCGGCUUCCGAACUCUUCGCUCUUUCACACUUUUUUUUCCUUCCUUCUUCCUUCAGCACAAUGCUUUCCCGGUUGGCCCCAGCUUUGACGCAGCCGCCAUGGCUGCCGCUCCCCCGCCGCUGACUUCAGAGGGCUUCCUCCGGCCCCGAGGAACCCGUCCGUUCCUCUCAGCUGUCCAAGGGGUCCCUCUCUCUCCCCUUGUCCCUACAGGACAGGGUAGGUCCGCAGACCUGUUGGCGGCGGCUCGACAGUCGGGGUUUUUGCGGGGCUCAUUAGAGCCCCACUAUUCCCCUGACUGGAUCACGCUGCACCAACCGGAAGUCCCAGUUUAUCAAUAUAACCUUUUAAUUGACGUAUUUUAUGUCCAAACAAUACAUUUCAUUCCUUUCAUGUACUGUAACUAAAAGAAUUUCAUUAUUUGUUUCUUUUAUUUCUUCUAGCCAAUCAUUCCUUUGUUUACACAAAAUAUUAGAGAAGGAUAUAUGACAUAUGUAAAUAUAAGAGCAAUGAGAUGGUUAUAUGAGCGAAACCGAUGGUUACCCUUUCCAGUGUGUGGAAUGUUUCCAGUUAAACUUAUAACCCAUAUUGGAAAACCAAUUCCAUAUGAUCCAGAUAUAACUCCUGAAAAAUUAGCUGAAAAGGCUCAAAGGGCAAUAGAAGAUUUAAGGGAUAAACACCAGAAAAUCCCAGGAGGCAUAUUGCAUGCUCUUAGGCAACGCUUUGAAGCACAUAACAAAGAUAAAUAGUGAUAUAACAUCAACAAUCUCUGUGGAUAAUAUAUGUAUAUAUGUAACUAAUAUAUGUGUAUGUGUAGUGCAUGAGUUCCAUCAGGCACUUUUUGAAAACAAAAUGUCGGGGAAAGAUUGAGAUGGGGUGAAAACAUUUAUUUCUUCAAUGUGUUUAAAUCUUCAAGACCAGAUUAAAUUGCAUUCUAAAAUACCAAAAGCAUUACAUGAUUUCUUUCCCCAAACCCUUAUGAAUUAUGUUUGCGAAAUCCUGGUGAACUGGCAGAUGACUGGAUAAGACCAACUGAUAUUCUAAUCUUCAAAAAGGAGGAAAAAGGAAACACAGCAAGAUAUAGACCAGUUACUCUGAUGUCGAUACUCUGAAAAAAUUAAGAGUGUAUAGUGCUAUCAUAAAAAGAUUUCUCAUUAAACACUUUGAAAACAAUUA